rnacentral:misc_RNA from 1 species
UCGAGUUUGAAAGAGGCUUGUAGCUGGCCCUCCGGGGCAUGUGCUCGGCCUUGCUCAUCCAUCUACACCUGUGCACCUAUUGUGGGUAUAAGAGCUGGAAGGGGGUUGGAUAACGACCUCUGAAAGGCGCAUAUACUCAUGUUUUACACACACUAUAUAAAGUUUAGAAUGUCUACUUGCGAUAUAACGCAUAUAAAUA